UCCCUGAGAAUUCUCGAACAGCU
rnacentral:miRNA from 1 species